rnacentral:rRNA from 1 species
UAGUCCACGCCGUAAACGAUGGUUACUAGCUGUUCGGUUUUCGGACUGAGUGGCUAAGCGAAAGUGAUAAGUAACCCACCUGGGGAGUACGUUCGCAAGAAUGAAACUCAAAGGAAUUGACGGGGGCCCGCACAAGCGGUGGAGCAUGUGGUUUAAUUCGAUGAUACGCGAGGAACCUUACCAGGGCUUAAAUGUAGAUUGACAGGACUAGAGAUAGUUUUUUCUUCGGACAAUUUACAAGGUGCUGCAUGGUUGUCGUCAGCUCGUGCCGUGAGGUGUCAGGUUAAGUCCUAUAACGAGCGCAACCCCUGUUGUUAGUUGCCAUCGAGUAAUGUCGGGAACUCUAACAAGACUGCCGGUGCAAACCGCGAGGAAGGUGGGGAUGACGUCAAAUCAUCACGGCCCUUACGUCCUGGGGCCACACACGUGCUACAAUGGUAGGGGACAGAGAGCAGCCACUAGGUGACUAGGAGCGAAUCUACAAACCCUAUCUCAGUUCGGAUCGGAGUCUGCAACUCGAC